GGAUGAACGCUAGCGGCAGGCUUAACACAUGCAAGUCGAGGGGCAGCACGGGUAGCAAUACCUGGUGGCGACCGGCGCAAGGGUGCGUAACGCGUGAGCAACAUGCCCUAUACAGGGGGAUAAUCCAGGGAAACUUGGUCUAAUAUCCCAUAGCAUUUAGAGGAGGCAUCUUCACUAAAUUAAAGCUUCGGUGGUAUAGGAUUGGCUCGCGUGACAUUAGCUAGAUGGUGAGGUAACGGCCCACCAUGGCUAUGAUGUCUAGGGGUUCUGAGAGGGUGGCCCCCCACAAUGGAACUGAAACACGGUCCAUACACCUACGGGUGGCAGCAGUAGGGAAUAUUAGUAAUGGGCGAAAGCCUGAACUAGCAACGCCGCGUGUGCGAAGAAGGCCUUCGGGUUGUAAAGCACUUUUUGAGAGGAUGAGGAAGGACGGUACUCUCAGAAUAAGUCUCGGCUAACUACGUGCCAGCAGCCGCGGUAACACGUAGGAGGCGAACGUUAUCCGGAUUUACUGGGCGUAAAGCGCGUGUAGGUGGUUUGGUAAGUAGGGCGUGAAAGCUCCUGGCUCAACUGGGAGAGGCCGUUCUAAACUGCCGAACUAGAGGAUGGUAGAGGGAGGUGGAAUUCCGGGUGUAGCGGUGGAAUGCGCAGAUAUCCGGAGGAACACCAGUGGCGAAAGCGGCCUCCUGGACCAUUCCUGACACUCAGACGCGAAAGCUAGGGUAGCAAACGGAAUUAGAGACUCCGGUAGUCCUAGCCCUAAACGAUGCAGACUAGGCGUCGGCGGUUUAAUCACCGUCGGUGUCCAAGCUAACGCAAUAAGUCUGCCGCCUGAGGACUACGGCCGCAAGGCUAAAACUCAAAGGAAUUGACGGGUCCCCGCACAAGCAGCGGAGCGUGUGGUUUAAUUCGAUGCUCCGCGAAGAACCUUACCUGGGUUUGACAUAACAGUGGUAGAGAAACGAAAGUGGACCGACCCUUCGGGGAGCUGUUACAGGUGUUGCAUGGCUGUCGUCAGCUCGUGUCGUGAGAUGUUCGGUUAAGUCCGCUAACGAGCGCAACCCGCGCUGUGUGUUACAAGUGUCACACAGUACCGCCGGUAUUAAGUCGGAGGAAGGUGCGGAUGACGUCAAGUCAGCAUGACCUUUAUAUCCAGGGCUACACACACGCUACAAUGGUCAGCACAAUAGGUUGCCAAGCCGCAAGGCGGAGCCAAUCCUCCAAAGCUGGCCUCAGUUCAGAUUGCAGGCUGCAACUCGCCUGCAUGAAGUCGGAGUUGCUAGUAACCGCAGGUCAGCAUACUGCGGUGAAUACGUUCCCGGGGAU
rnacentral:rRNA from 1 species